rnacentral:lncRNA from 1 species
CUACCCGAGGCUGCAGUGCCCUAGCUGGCGUGUUGUAGCCUAGCUUGCAGCCACACAAGCCUCCUGCUACGCACGCAUGGGCUACUAGCCUACGCGUACACAGGGCCUAGGGCGCGCAAGGCCUAUCCACGCGAGCCUAUUGCGCAGACAGCCUGCCUACAUGCGACAAGAUGCAUGCAGGACCUGUCCCCACGUCGUGCGCAUGGAUGAGACGUGUCUUCUGUGUGCGCGUCUUGUGCGUGCUGCGUGAGAAUGGGACGUGCGUGUUAUACGCAAGUCCUGCGGCUACUGGGAGCGUGCGCGCGCGCAUACAGGCGCGACAUCCGUGCAAGCAGCUCUACUUCCCCGUGGGAUUUCUUCCCGUUUCGCCAU